CCCAGCCGUCCGGAUACACAAGCGGGGAGGCAGUGGUAGCCGGAUACAGUGGCCCUGGCCUCCUCGCUAGCUGAUUUGACGACGAGG
rnacentral:pre_miRNA from 1 species